UGGGGAAUCUUGCACAAUGGGCGAAAGCCUGAUGCAGCAACGCCGCGUGCGGGAUGAAGCCCUUCGGGGUGUAAAGCUCUUUCGGCAGGAACGAUAAUGACGGUACCUGAAGAAGAAGCUGCGGCUAACUACGUGCCAGCAGCCGCGGUAAUACGUAGGCAGCGAGCGUUGUUCGGAGUUACUGGGCGUAAAGAGUGCGUAGGCGGUCCUGUAAGUUUGGUGUGAAAUCUCCCGGCUCAACUGGGAGGGUGCGCCGAAGACUGCAGGGCUUGAGUAUGGGAGAGGUAAGCGGAAUUCCUGGUGUAGCGGUGAAAUGCGUAGAUAUCAGGAGGAACACCUGUGGUGUAGACAGCUUACUGGACCAUCACUGACGCUGAGGCACGAAAGCGUGGGUAGCAAACAG
rnacentral:rRNA from 1 species